GAAUCCCGUCCACCGAUUGACUAAGGUUUCCAGAGGAAGGCUCGUCCGCUCUGGGUUAGUCGGGUCCUAAGCUGAGGCCGACAGGCGUAGGCGAUGGAUAACAGGUUGAUAUUCCUGUACCACCUAUAAUCGUUUUAAUCGAUGGGGGGACGCAGUAGGAUAGGCGAAGCGUGCGAUUGGAUUGCACGUCUAAGCAGUAAGGCUGAGUAUUAGGCAAAUCCGGUACUCAUUAAGGCUGAGCUGUGAUGGGGAGAAGACAUUGUGUCUUCGAGUCGUUGAUUUCACACUGCCGAGAAAAGCCUCUAGAUAGAAAAUAGGUGCCCGUACCGCAAACCGACACAGGUAGUCAAGAUGAGAAUUCUAAGGUGAGCGAGCGAACUCUCGUUAAGGAACUCGGCAAAAUGACCCCGUAACUUCGGGAGAAGGGGUGCUCUUUAGGGUUAACGCCCAGAAGAGCCGCAGUGAAUAGGCCCAAGCGACUGUUUAUCAAAAACACAGGUCUCUGCUAAACCGUAAGGUGAUGUAUAGGGGCUGACGCCUGCCCGGUGCUGGAAGGUUAAGAGG
rnacentral:rRNA from 1 species